rnacentral:tRNA from 1 species
UCUAAUAUGGCAGAUAAGUGCAAUGAAUUUAAGAUUCAUAUAUAAAUAAAAAUUUUGUUAGAA